GGUGCGAUGGCCGAGUGGUUAGGCAGAGGUCUGCAAAACCUCGUACAGCGGUCCAAUUCCGCUUCGCACCUCCA
rnacentral:tRNA from 1 species